UACGUAGGGUGCGAGCGUUAAUCGGAAUUACUGGGCGUAAAGUGUGCGCAGGCGGCAGAGCAAGUCGAGUGUGAAAGCCCCGGGCUUAACUUGGGAAUUGCGCUUGUGACUGGCGUGCUGGAGUGUGGCAGAGGGAGGUGGAAUUCCCGGUGUAGAGGUGAAAUUCGUAGAUAUCGGGAGGAACACCAGUGGCGAAGGCGGCGACCUGGGCAGAUACUGACACUGAGGUGCGAAAGCGUGGGGAGCAAACAGG
rnacentral:rRNA from 1 species